ACAGGAAGACCCGGCCCUAGCCGUGGGCAGCACUGUUAAAUGAACUGGGGUCCCAGAACAGAGAGGAGAAAGUGAGCUGAGCCCACCGUUCAUCUCGCUUUGCAUCAUGGGCCUCUGCUCAAGCUCCUACCACGGAGCUUUCCCCAGCGUGAGGGACUGAAUGCCUAACUCACCAUCCUCCUCUAGGUCCCUCGAAGCACACAGCAUCCCGAGUGAUGCCCACAGCAUCCCGAGUGACUCGCGCAGUCCCAAAGACAGCGUUGACCCACUGAGUCUUUAAGUAUCUGCUCUAUCAAACCAGCCCCUCACGGACCCUGGACACCUGACAUCCAGCAAGCAUUGGGGACCACUCUGUAAACAGCAUCCUAACUAGUCACCUGACUCAUUCUCUGUUCUGCAAACCUGGGAAUCUGAGGGCGGCAGCAUUCACACACAGUGAGAGCCUGGGCUCUGCUCUCAGGACCUGCAAGUCUCAGGUGCCUUCACCUCCACUACAUCUGCACUGCCCUCGCUGCAGUGAGUAGACCAGACCCGCUUCUGCCCCGCCCACUCGGAUCUCUGCGGGCUACGCCCCCGCUGUUCUCUUCCUUCCCCUCUGUCCCUCCAUCCUCUCUUCACCUUCUGGCAUUUUCCACUCUGACACUGACCUUUGCGUUGACACAGUCAGUCAAUAUGUGAAACCCUUGCUUUUCUCAACCUAAAAUAAAUCCAUAAUUAAUUCAUU
rnacentral:lncRNA from 1 species